GCAGUUGGCACGAGGCUCAAAUAUGGCAUUCGUCCUAAAACAUGACAAUAAUUUCCAAACACAAUGAUAUCAAAUAGGUUUUUAUCAACAGCAACAACAAUAACAACCUAAUAUAUCCCACAGGUUUUUAAUCAAAUACGCGAAUAACAAUCGUAUGGGACGGACCAAGUCAUAAUCCCCAAUGGUCCUGACCCCCCACUCGUCACCUAGCAUGUGCAUCACCUCAAAAUAUCACCACGAUGUGAAAUCCGGGGUCUCAUGCCCUCAGGACAAUAUUUACAAUCAUUACUUACCUCAAUCCGGUCCAAACUCUAGCCCGUGAUGCCUUGGCCUCUUGACUCACCCUCCGAAUGCUCCAAAUCUAACAAAAAUAAGAUUCAUACCAUCAAAAUAUACUAGGGGAACAAGGCACACUUGAAAAUAACUAAUUUACA
rnacentral:lncRNA from 1 species